rnacentral:rRNA from 1 species
AUGAACGCUAGCUACAGGCUUAACACAUGCAAGUCGAGGGGCAGCAUUUUAGUUUGCUUGCAAACUGAAGAUGGCGACCGGCGCACGGGUGAGUAACACGUAUCCAACCUGCCGAUAACUCCGGAAUAGCCUUUCGAAAGAAAGAUUAAUACCGGAUAGCAUACGAAUAUCGCAUGAUAUUUUUAUUAAAGAAUUUCGGUUAUCGAUGGGGAUGCGUUCCAUUAGUUUGUUGGCGGGGUAACGGCCCACCAAGACUACGAUGGAUAGGGGUUCUGAGAGGAAGGUCCCCCACAUUGGAACUGAGACACGGUCCAAACUCCUACGGGAGGCAGCAGUGAGGAAUAUUGGUCAAUGGGCGAGAGCCUGAACCAGCCAAGUAGCGUGAAGGAUGAAGGCUCUAUGGGUCGUAAACUUCUUUUAUAUGGGAAUAAAGUUUUCCACGUGUGGAAUUUUGUAUGUACCAUAUGAAUAAGGAUCGGCUAACUCCGUGCCAGCAGCCGCGGUAAUACGGAGGAUCCGAGCGUUAUCCGGAUUUAUUGGGUUUAAAGGGAGCGUAGGUGGAUUGUUAAGUCAGUUGUGAAAGUUUGCGGCUCAACCGUAAAAUUGCAGUUGAAACUGGCAGUCUUGAGUACAGUAGAGGUGGGCGGAAUUCGUGGUGUAGCGGUGAAAUGCUUAGAUAUCACGAAGAACUCCGAUUGCGAAGGCAGCUCACUAGACUGUCACUGACACUGAUGCUCGAAAGUGUGGGUAUCAAACAGGAUUAGAUACCCUGGUAGUCCACACAGUAAACGAUGAAUACUCGCUGUUUGCGAUAUACAGUAAGCGGCCAAGCGAAAGCAUUAAGUAUUCCACCUGGGGAGUACGCCGGCAACGGUGAAACUCAAAGGAAUUGACGGGGGCCCGCACAAGCGGAGGAACAUGUGGUUUAAUUCGAUGAUACGCGAGGAACCUUACCCGGGCUUAAAUUGCAACAGAAUAUAUUGGAAACAGUAUAGCCGUAAGGCUGUUGUGAAGGUGCUGCAUGGUUGUCGUCAGCUCGUGCCGUGAGGUGUCGGCUUAAGUGCCAUAACGAGCGCAACCCUUAUCUUUAGUUACUAACAGGUUAUGCUGAGGACUCUAGAGAGACUGCCGUCGUAAGAUGUGAGGAAGGUGGGGAUGACGUCAAAUCAGCACGGCCCUUACGUCCGGGGCUACACACGUGUUACAAUGGGGGGUACAGAAGGCGGCUACCUGGUGACAGGAUGCUAAUCCCAAAAACCUCUCUCAGUUCGGAUCGAAGUCUGCAACCCGACUUCGUGAAGCUGGAUUCGCUAGUAAUCGCGCAUCAGCCAUGGCGCGGUGAAUACGUUCCCGGGCCUUGUACACACCGCCCGUCACACCAUGAGAGUUGGAAAUACCCGAAGCCUGUGAGCUAACCUAUGAGGCAGCAGUCGAAGGUAGAGCCAAUGAUUGGGGUG